GGCGUUGCUUCCGAUACGGGAGGACUGGAGUGAACGGACCCGCUGGUCUCCCGGCGGCUCCACCAGGAGCACAUGCUGGGUAGCCACGUCCGGCAUGAAUCACCGCUGAAAGCAUCUAGCGCAGUUGUCC
rnacentral:ncRNA from 1 species